UGGGGAAUUUUGGACAAUGGGCGAAAGCCUGAUCCAGCAAUGCCGCGUGUGUGAAGAAGGCCUUCGGGUUGUAAAGCACUUUUGUCCGGAAAGAAAUCCUUGGCUCUAAUACAGUCGGGGGAUGACGGUACCGGAAGAAUAAGCACCGGCUAACUACGUGCCAGCAGCCGCGGUAAUACGUAGGGUGCAAGCGUUAAUCGGAAUUACUGGGCGUAAAGCGUGCGCAGGCGGUUUGCUAAGACCGAUGUGAAAUCCCCGGGCUCAACCUGGGAACUGCAUUGGUGACUGGCAGGCUAGAGUAUGGCAGAGGGGGGUAGAAUUCCACGUGUAGCAGUGAAAUGCGUAGAGAUGUGGAGGAAUACCGAUGGCGAAGGCAGCCCCCUGGGCCAAUACUGAUGCUCAUGCACGAAAGCGUGGGAGCAAACAGGAUUAGAUACCCUGGUAGUCCACGCCCUAAACGAUGUCAACUAGUUGUUGGGGAUUCAUUUUCCUUAGUAACGUAGCUAACGCGU
rnacentral:rRNA from 1 species